UACAGAUCCCUCUCUAUUUCAGCUCACGAGCCAAGUCACCCUAACAUGGCACCAGAAGUUGAGCACUCAGGUUUAAUUGUAAUGUUGACGCUUUGCGACAGAUAAGUGGGUUUGGGUUGCAGUUUGGGCACUGUCUCUAAAAGAUUCACCAUCACUGAUCUACAUAAUGGGUCUGAUUAUUAUAAUUAUGGAACUAAAGUUACAAGCAGCUACUAGCAAUAAGUCAUAGAAAUUCUAGUGUCACAGAUUAAAGACCUAUAGUUGGGGACAAUCUUGGGUGGGAUUUUCUGGUUUAGUUUCUUUGGGAAUGAGGUAAAGAUGGUCCAGUUGGAAGUAAAUGUAAUCAUUUUAAAUGAAGUCAUGAUUCUUACCCGACAACUUCUUCAGUGGGUUCUGAUCUACUAUCCAUUGUAGCAAAAAUCUGAUUAAUUUCACAAAGUAUUAGACAACCAACUUUGACAACUAUUCUCGUAGCUGACCACUCAGCUUUCUCGUGGAAUUAAAAUUCCUCUUCAGGAGCACAGGAUUUGGGGGGGCUGUGAAACCAUUCUGUAUGGCAUUGCAGUGGUUUAUACAUGUCAUUAGACAUUUAUCAAAACUACGGAAUAGGUAACAUCAAGUGAUUGGUAUAGGUUUAUGGCUAGGGACAUUGACAGUGCAGGAAGCUGUGCCCAUGUGAGGACAGGAAUGUGUGGGAUCUCCCCUCAAUUUUACAAUGAACCUAAAACUGCUCUAUAAAAUAAAGUCUGUUUAUUUUUUUAAAAAUUGUUCAAUGGGCCACUGUGUCUUGCAUGGUGAGUCACCUUCAUACUAUAGGGUGUACUUGUUUUUCUACUUUUACUUGGCUCAAACUCACUCUGCAGAGCCUGUUACUUUUCCUACCUUUAAUAAAACUUUGGUAUUAUUUGGCUUAUAUCGACCAAUUUGCACAGGACCAAAAGAACCUAGAAACUACCUCCAGCAGUAGACUACAGCACCCCAAAACCGAGAAACAUAUUUGGCGAGCCAGCCAGGAGACCAGGAAAAGCCCGGAAACUAUGGUGUUUAGAGUGGCCCCUGAGGAAGAGAAAGAUAUCUUCGAAGAUCCUAUUUGCUGAUCCCCACCUAUCUCUCGGGGAGAUAUGGUCUCUCCUAUUGUUUAAUGAAGAAACUUCAGAUUGGACUGCAGAUACCAAUGACCCAAUUUCUGGGCAUGACCUUUACUGCAUUCCACAGUCAGAAUCUGGAGAAGGGUCAAAAGAGAAAAGUUGGAAUUAUACCUGUUGCAACUGGCAAUUCAGUAAACUCACCCAAAUGGUCUAAGGAAAACCCAAGGAUGAUGGAUGACAAGAAGUGUGGAUACUGGCACAUAACUGAACCAAGCUACCUCCUAUGCCCUGCUCCAAGUGUAAAGCAGCCAGUGUGCCUGAUUCAUGGCACUGGAGGGUUGACUGUCCCUGCUCCCAGAGAGGGGCUAGGCCAUCCCCAACCUCGUUUCCCACUCUGAAGAGACCCAAGGAACCUACAGUGGAUAUUUUCUGCCCUUGGAUAUUACCAUCUCCUAUGUGGAACCUUGGCCCACAGCCUUUCCCCAUUCAUACCUCUCCUGCACCGCCACUGUACCCUCUGCUCCACCAGCACCAGGACUGGGAUGAGAAAUGCUGGCACUUCCAGAAUCCCCGGCCAUCCAGAGCUUCUAGACUGUGCCCGGACUGUGUUCAGUCUGCUGGAAGGUUCAACAGUCAGCUGUUGCCAGGGAUCAGAUCUUCCUUGUGAAGGACCACUCUUCUCAGCAGUGACAGGUUCUCUUUUCAUUCUUGUUCAGCCAAGAAACAACUUUAUUUUGGGAUAUUCAGAAAAACUCCCAUCGUGCUCACUACCACUACAUACCUUAGCUUCUGUUCUUCUAGAAUCAAAACCUCAGAAAAAGCCUUCGGUCUUGAGUUCAGGUGGCCUUUUGGGAGGGGAACCUGGGAAGUAGGACCCGGGUAGAGUAAGUGGAGAAAAAAGCCAGUUGUCACACUGAUGGCUGUUGUGGGCAGCUGGCUAGGAUCCCGAGGAACCGUCAAGCUUGCACGCCAGACUACAUCUCCGGAGUGCCUGAGGCUGGGCCCUUCCUCCUGCCUCCCCUCCUCCUAGCUGAGGUGUUCCCUGGGCUUCAAGCUGCUCUGUGCACAGGCGACAAGAACUAUUGAAGCAUUAAUAAUAAUAAUACUAACAACAACAACAACAGAAUUUUUAAAAUCUGUGGUGGCAAAUGGCAAAGUUGAGGGACUCUUCAGGAACUUGUAGUGAGCACUCCCAGAAUGCAUGAAGAACUCCCACUCUGGCCACAGCUGGAGUCCCAGACGGGCUAAGGGGAUGUGGCAUGGAGCACAAGCAACAUUGCUGCAAUUCAGACAGGUAAAGUGAUCUUCCUCACUCUCCUCAGCAACAAACCCAUAAUAUUUUAAAGUGCCCGGAUGGAACGUCUGCUGCUGUUUCUUUACUCCAAGAGGAUCAGAGACUCCAAGACGGCCAGGUUGUGUGCAGUCAGGGCCCAGCUGAUGUCCAGGGCCCUCCCAUGGAAGUUCCUUAUCUUCUGGCUCCUGUGUGUUCUUGUGUUCAACAAGUUCCUCCAGCUAGACUUAGACCAAAAAGAUGGACAUCCCAGCCCUUGUGCCAUUCCUUGGCAGAGCUUUGAAAGAAGUUGACACCAAGGUAGGAAUGCGGUGUGGAGAUAGAACUUUCUCUUCUCUAAGCUGAACUUUUGGGAAUCUUCAAAGCCAACCUGCAGAUUGCUCCAAACUAGAACUGCAGUUAUUUCUGCAGAAGAGAAAUUCUCACAGUGAUGUCUUCAAAGCCAGAGAAGGAAAGGGCAGAAGUCUUUACUCUCUGGAGAGAACUCAUCAGGGAAAGUUGGGCAAACAGAACAAGUCUCGAUGAAGGAGAGAACUUUGGGGCUGGGCUGGGAGCAGGGAGCCACGGAAGUGCCCCUUCCAAAAGAUAAUUCCUGUCAACAGAUGACAUUUUAAACUCUUUGAGAAACUCUGUAAGAGAUUUCUUAGAGCCAGAGAUGUAGCUCAGAGGCACCAUUCCUGCCUCACAAGUGCAAGGUCCUGAGUUCAAUCUCCA